UAAAAUUUUUUGGACCCUUAGUAACAUAAGCAAGUAAACAUUCUAGGUUAAAAAUAAACAGUCCAAAAUUUGAUUAUGUAUCAGUUGGUACCUACCAAGAUACUCCCUGAAUCCAUCAAAUCACUCUUGCUAUGUUUUACACCGAAUCCUUGCUUACUAGUUACUACUCUUUAACAGCUGAUUGCUCCCUAUCCCUACCGCUAGUUGCAUCACAAUGGAAAUGGACUAUGGAGUUGGCGCGUAUUUGGCGAGGCGACGGUGAAGUGGGUUAUGUUUGUUUACUUGAGAGUUGAUAAUGUUUCUGUUAGCCUAAUAAUAUUGAGAUUAGUGAUAAUUUGAAUAUAGAGUGAUAUUAUUUUAAAGUUAAAGGAUAUUUUUUAUUGUAACAGUGGUUUUACGUGAAAGUCAAGGCGUCAAUUAUUGACAUUGAGGUUAUCGAAUGGUGAGGGGCCUGGACAGUUUGUUUGCAGUUGUGGUCGGACAUACAAGUACAAACGGUCGCUGAGUCUGCAUCAGAAGACAGAUUGUGGAAUUGAACCUCAAUAUGCGUGUUUGUUCUGCACAUACAAGGCCAAACAGAAAGUUCACCUGCGCAGACACCUGGUAACCAAACAUGCGGAAGCUUGCUUAGUGCAGAAUUGACUUGCUGGGUCGUACUAUGUACCGUUAUUUGAAACUUUGUUUUGUGUUGUAUCAAAUAAAUUCAUAAUUUGUUUUUUAAGUUUUAAAAUAAAUAAAAUACUAUUAAUCUGUAUUUAUGUGUCAAGAGUAAGAUUUCCUUUGUUUUCUAUCUCACUAUCACAAAAUAAAACUUUUUUAGGCACAUGUA